AUGAGCGUCUCAUUUGACGCUCGCGUGAUGAUGAUCUGUGGAAUGACCACUUUCCUCCUGCUGGACUUUUGCUUUACAUCAGGUUUCUCUAGAGGAAAAAACAUCCAGGGAUUUAGUAGAUGUGUGGAAAGCUCCUUCCACCUCCUGCCACUGCUCAGAGUAAAGGAAUUAGAUGUAUGGUCAGCAGAAGAAACGGGGAAGAAACCAGGAGAAACACUUCCACCGUUCGCGGCAGGAUGGCGUCAGGGCGACCAGCACCGGAAGGAGAGACGGCACACGCCCAGGCAGGCGCCGCCUCCGAGCUCAAGGUUCAGAGACAUCAUUUUCACUUCAACGCUAAUUCUGGUUACAAGGAACGCCUGAGACCUGUGAAACUGCUGAGCCUGCCAAGCACUGCCAAGUACAAAGCAGAAGUGCUCCUUCGCCGGCUGCUCUCCUGGCCGGCCACCCGCCCCCUUCCCGGACUGUCACUGCUAUGGACUUCUGGGAGAGCAGGGCGGAGCUCGCUCUCUGCACACAUAUGUGUGGUACAGGGUUAGAAGACUCACAGUCACCUUUUCACAGAAACGUAACAACAGCGGGUAUGUUGUUCUACAGCUUUGUGGGGACACUUGAUAGCUCACGAACCUGGAUGCGAGGUAGGAUAGACAGCUGGCAAUGGCAGUGCUGGUUUAUUAUUUUU